CCUACGGGGGGCAGCAGUGGGGAAUAUUGCACAAUGGGGGAAACCCUGAUGCAGCGACGCCGCGUGAGUGAAGAAGUAAUUCGUUACGUAAAGCUCUAUCAGCAGGGAAGAAACACUGACCUUACGGUCAGCAGACGGUACCUGAGUAAGAAGCCCCGGCUAACUACGUGCCAGCAGCCGCGGUAAUACGUAGGGGGCAAGCGUUAUCCGGAUUUACUGGGUGUAAAGGGAGCGUAGACGGUGCGCCAAGUCGGGAGUGAAAUGCCGCAGCUUAACUGCGGAACUGCUUUGGAAACUGGCGAACUAGAGUGCGGGAGGGGUAAGCGGAAUUCCUAGUGUAGCGGUGAAAUGCGUAGAUAUUAGGAGGAACACCGGUGGCGAAGGCGACUUACUGGACCGUAACUGACGUUGAGGCUCGAAAGCGUGGGGAGCAAACAGGAUUAGAUACCCGGGUAGUC
rnacentral:rRNA from 1 species